UGCAGUCGAGCGGACAGAUGGGAGCUUGCUCCCUGAUGUUAGCGGCGGACGGGUGAGUAACACGUGGGUAACCUGCCUGUAAGACUGGGAUAACUCCGGGAAACCGGGGCUAAUACCGGAUGGUUGUUUGAACCGCAUGGUUCAAACAUAAAAGGUGGCUUCGGCUACCACUUACAGAUGGACCCGCGGCGCAUUAGCUAGUUGGUGAGGUAACGGCUCACCAAGGCAACGAUGCGUAGCCGACCUGAGAGGGUGAUCGGCCACACUGGGACUGAGACACGGCCCAGACUCCUACGGGAGGCAGCAGUAGGGAAUCUUCCGCAAUGGACGAAAGUCUGACGGAGCAACGCCGCGUGAGUGAUGAAGGUUUUCGGAUCGUAAAGCUCUGUUGUUAGGGAAGAACAAGUACCGUUCGAAUAGGGCGGUACCUUGACGGUACCUAACCAGAAAGCCACGGCUAACUACGUGCCAGCAGCCGCGGUAAUACGUAGGUGGCAAGCGUUGUCCGGAAUUAUUGGGCGUAAAGGGCUCGCAGGCGGUUUCUUAAGUCUGAUGUGAAAGCCCCCGGCUCAACCGGGGAGGGUCAUUGGAAACUGGGGAACUUGAGUGCAGAAGAGGAGAGUGGAAUUCCACGUGUAGCGGUGAAAUGCGUANAGAUGUGGAGGAACACCAGUGGCGAAGGCGACUCUCUGGUCUGUAACUGACGCUGANGAGCGAAAGCGUGGGGAGCGAACAGGAUUA
rnacentral:rRNA from 1 species